GUGGGGAAUAUUGCACAAUGGGCGCAAGCCUGAUGCAGCGACGCCGCGUGAGGGAUGAAGGCCUUCGGGUUGUAAACCUCUUUCGUCAGGGAACAAGGCACUGCUUUUGGUGGUGUUGAGGGUACCUGGAUAAGAAGCGCCGGCUAACUACGUGCCAGCAGCCGCGGUAAUACGUAGGGCGCAAGCGUUGUCCGGAAUUAUUGGGCGUAAAGAGCUCGUAGGCGGCUGGUCGCGUCUGUCGUGAAAACUUCCGGCUCAACCGGGGGCUUGCGGUGGGUACGGGCCGGCUAGAGUGCGGUAGGGGUAACUGGAACUCCUGGUGUAGCGGUGGAAUGCGCAGAUAUCAGGAAGAACACCGAUGGCGAAGGCAGGUUACUGGGCCGUUACUGACGCUGAGGAGCGAAAGCGUGGGGAGCGAACAGGAUUAGAAACCCCGGUAGUCC
rnacentral:rRNA from 1 species